GAGGAAGAGGAGGAGGAGGUGGAGCAACAGUGGCCACUGUUGCCACCACCAGAUUUGAAAUGACCUUCUUGCAACCUUUAGCAAUGCUAUUGUUAUUUACUGCCACUUUAAGAGGCAAACCAGAAGUCCAUGUGAAAAAAAUGAGGAAGAGAUUUCGUUUUGCAGAAGAAGCCUGUAUGAGAGUGGUUGGAUCUGUAGGAUCUCUUUAGGGGCUUGAAGAGUUUUAGACCUAGAUGAAUUAGGAAACAGAAACAGUCCACAGAACUUGGACACAUUCUCCCAGCUGAUCUUCAAAUGGAAGGCAAAGAGCCCAUUGUGUUCCCCCAUGAAAUAAAAGUGAGUUGGAUGACAAUGCAAAUACAGCUCUGAUUCCGUCAAGCAUCCUUUCCUUCAAUCACAGCCUUGUAAAAGUAAAGAAACUAGUUUUUCAGCAUAUAAAAAUAUUAUUAUAUGUCUGGGCUUUGGGGUUUCACAUAGACCACAGAAGAAUGUUUGAAUUUA